rnacentral:misc_RNA from 1 species
CAACCCUCAAGCCCCCGGGCUUGGUGUUGGGGAUCGGCGAGCCUCUGCGCCCGCCGUCCCCUAAAUUUAGUGGCGGUCACGUUGUAACUUCCUCUGCGUAGUAGCACACUUAGCACUGGGAAACAGCGCGGCCACGCCGUAAAACCCCCAACUUUAGAAU